rnacentral:tRNA from 1 species
GCCUAGGUGGCUCAGUGGUUGAGUGCCUGCCUUCAGUGCAGGGCAUGAUCCUGGAGUCCUGGGAUCGAGUCCCACAUCGGGCU